rnacentral:rRNA from 1 species
UACAGAGGCCUCGAGCGUUAGGCGGAAUCACUGGGCUUAAAGCGUGUGUAGGCGGACUUCUAAGUGCCUUGUGAAAUCCCACGGCUCACCCGUGGAACUGCUGGGCAUACUGGGAGUCUUGAGCCACCUAGGGGCGAGCGGAACAAAUGGUGGAGCGGUGAAAUGCGUAGAGAUCCGGAGGAACACCAAAGGCGAAGGCAGUGUCCUGGGGAGUACCUGACGCUCAGGUGCGAAAGCCAGGGGAGCGAACGGG